rnacentral:rRNA from 1 species
UACGUAGGGGGCUAGCGUUGUCCGGAUUCAUUGGGCGUAAAGCGCAUGCAGGCGGCUUGGUAAGUCAUCGGUGAAAUCCCUCGGCUCAACCGGGGGGGGUCCGGCGAAACUGCCAGGCUUGAGGUCGGGAGGGGGAAGCGGAAUUCCGGGUGUAGUGGUGGAAUGCGUAGAUAUCCGGAGGAACACCAGUGGCGAAGGGCGGCUUCCUGGCCCGAUUCUGACGCUGAUAUGCGAAAGCGUGGGGAGCGAGUCCGG